CACGGGGGGGAGCAAGCGUUGUUCGGAAUCACUGGGCGUAAAGGGCGUGUAGGCGGUCUGGUAAGUGGGAUGUGAAAGCCCCCGGCCUCACCCGGGGAUCUGCAUUCCAAACUGCCAGACUUGAGUAUGGGAGAGGACAGGGGAAUUCCUGGUGUAGCGGUGAAAUGCGUAGAUAUCAGGAGGAACACCGGUGGCGAAAGCGCCUGUCUGGCCCAAUACUGACGCUGAUGCGCGAAAGCUAGGGGAGCAAACGGG
rnacentral:rRNA from 1 species